rnacentral:rRNA from 1 species
ACCUGGGCUACACACGUGCUACAAUGGUUGGUACAACGAGUUGCGAGUCGGUGACGGCGAGCUAAAUCCUACUUAAAGCCAAUCUCAGUUCGGAUUGUAGGCUGCAACUCGCCUACAUGAAGUCGGAAUCGCUAGUAAUCGCGGAUCAGCACGCCGCGGUGAAUACGUUCCCGGGCCUU